rnacentral:rRNA from 1 species
AUUGAACGCUGGCGGCAUGCCUUACACAUGCAAGUCGAACGGCAGCACGGGAGCAAUCCUGGUGGCGAGUGGCGAACGGGUGAGUAAAGUAUCGGAACGUGCCCAGUCGUGGGGGAUAACGUAGCGAAAGUUACGCUAAUACCGCAUACGAUCUAUGGAUGAAAGCGGGGGAUCGCAAGACCUCGCGCGAUUGGAACGGCCGAUAUCAGAUUAGGUAGUUGGUGGGGUAAAGGCCCACCAAGCCGACGAUCUGUAGCUGGUCUGAGAGGACGACCAGCCACACUGGGACUGAGACACGGCCCAGACUCCUACGGGAGGCAGCAGUGGGGAAUUUUGGACAAUGGGCGAAAGCCUGAUCCAGCCAUGCCGCGUGCAGGAUGAAGGCCUUCGGGUUGUAAACUGCUUUUGUACGGAACGAAAAGGACUGCCCUAAUACGGUGGUCCCAUGACGGUACCGUAAGAAUAAGCACCGGCUAACUACGUGCCAGCCGCCGCCGUAAGAC